UGCGUUCUGAGAGCCAGAGGAACUGCUUUCCAGCGGAGAGAGCUGAUCGAACGAUCGCAGCUGGAAGUCGUCAUCCAUUGGGAUGUAAGGAGCCAACAUCUCCAAAUCUAAAUCAGUUUCCUGGAAAAGACAAGAGAUUUCUUCACAUUCAAUUUCCCUGUGACAACAGAUGUUCCUGCUCCAGUCAUGGAUAUCAUGGUCUGAGACACUUGAGGCUCCUGACAUACCCGGAUAUCUGGAAACAGCCACAAGAAGUCUGACCUUUAACAAUACUGGAAAAAUAUUUUAGCUAUAUAACCUGAUGGAUUAAACAUUUCCUACUGAAGACAGACCUCAGCCUAAAGCAGGUGCCUCUGCCAGCAGAGCCGGAUGGGACAGAGAUGCCAUUCCUGGUGUCCCACAGCCCAUCGGAACACCCAGACACGGGUACCAUCACGCUCAUGUGACACGCAGACCAUCCGAAGAGCUCAACCCUGGGCACCUCCACACCAACCACUCGCCUACAGCACAACAGGACACCUCAGCCAACAGAAUAGCAGCUGGAUGCAAGUUCGACUAAAAGACGGAGAUCUCAAAGAGGGUACUGCAGCAGAGCUCUGCUCUUCAGACGGCGCUGGACAUGCAGUCGCAGGGUUUUCUCCGCUGGUCGUUAGACCUUUAUUUUGUACAGAAUUGCUAGCCCCAGUAUUUACUGAAUUAUUCUUCCACGGAAAGAAGCCCCAUGCAAGCUCAGUGCUUCCCACAGAGAAACUAAAAACAGUGUAAAUCAAACUCCCUAAAGACAACUUCAUACCAAAAAUGGGUUUAUAAUGUAAGAGAACUCCAAAUCCAGUUAUUUAAAUGUACAGUCAGCUAAUGAUAAAGGUAUUCUUCCAAGGAAAAAGAAAACCAAAACAACCCACACAAAACUCCCCCAAAAAAACCCCAACCAGCGUGUAAAAGCCCCUCGUCUUCCACCUGGCAUAGAUGGAGAACAUGCCAGUUAGCCCACUUAUUCCCUUAAAAAUACUUUUAAAUUGAUACUCUGCACUGGGGAGGCCACAACUGGAAUCCUGCGUCCAGUUCUGGGCUCCCCAGUUCAAGAGAGACAGGGAAC